rnacentral:rRNA from 1 species
AGCAGCCGCGGUAAUUCCAGCUCCAAUAGCGUAUAUUAAAGUUGUUGCAGUUAAAAAGCUCGUAGUUGAAUUUCGGAAUUUGUCGGUUGGUCGGGCUUCACUGUCCGCACUGACCUGAUGGAUUCCUACCUUCUGAAUAACCAGCAUGCCAUUAAGUUAGUGCGUUGGGGAAGCAGAGCUAUUACCUUGAAAAAAUUAGAGUGCUUAAAGCAGGCUUGUGCUUGAAUAGAUUAGCAUGGAAUAAUAAAAUAGGACGGCAUGGUUCUAUUUUGUUGGUUUCUAGGAUCACCGUAAUGAUUAAUAGGGAUAGUUGGGGGCAUUANUAUUCAAUUGUCAGAGGUGAAAUUCUUGGAUUUAUUGAAGACUAACUUCUGCGAAAGCAUUUGCCAAGGAUGUUUUCAUUAAUCAAGAACGAAAGUUANGGGAUCGAAGACGAUCAGAUACCGUCGUANUCUUAACCAUAAACUAUGCCGACUAGGGAUCGGACGAUGUUAAUUUUUUAAUGACUC